GAUUCACUCCGGUGGCCUAGUGGUUAGAGUGUACGCCACGGAUGCGGAAGGUCGUGGGUUCGAUCACCAUUCGAGUCA